GCCUGGGUGGCUUAGUCGGUUAAGCGUCUGACUUCGGCUCAGGUCAUGAUCUUGUGGUUCGUGGGUUCCAGCCCCGUGUUGGGCU
rnacentral:tRNA from 1 species